AUUUAUAUAAUAUAUUUAGUAUUUUUAACUUCCAAUUAAAUUGAUUAAUUUUUUAUAAUUAAUAUAAAUA
rnacentral:tRNA from 1 species